AUUGAACGCUGGCGGAAUGCUUUACACAUGCAAGUCGAACGGUAGAGGGGGCAACCCCUUGAGAGUGGCGAACGGGUGAGUAAUAUAUCGGAACGUGCCCAGUCGUGGGGAUAACGUAGCGAAAGUUACGCUAAUACCGCAUACGAUCUAAGGAUGAAAGCGGGGGAUCGCAAGACCUCGCGCGAUUGGAGCGGCCGAUAUCAGAUUAGGUAGUUGGUGAGGUAAAGGCUCACCAAGCCAACGAUCUGUAGCUGGUCUGAGAGGACGACCAGCCACACUGGAACUGAGACACGGUCCAGACGUCCUACGGGAGGCAGC
rnacentral:rRNA from 1 species